rnacentral:tRNA from 1 species
GUAGACGUAGUUUAACGAAAACAUCAGAUUGUGAUUCUGAAAAUAGGGACUAGUACCCCCUCAUCCACC